rnacentral:lncRNA from 1 species
CUCUACUUUGAUGGACAGGCCUCAUUUUUGGCAGCUGUAUUAGAGGUUUAGACUGAAUGUCCAAGGUCCCUCCCUAGCUCAGAUUUUUAUAGUUGUAAUCCCAUGGUUACAUGCACCAUAUUGAGUUUUAUCUUCAGAGGCAAAAAUCUGGGUUUAAUAUUUUAAUCUUAAGAGUCUAAUAGACAAUUCUUAUUUUAAUUUAGUAAUUUAGACGCAGCUGAACCCAUACUGCGAUGAUAGUAAACUAGUCUCCUAGACACAAUGGAUGUAGGUGCUUCUGAAUGUGCUGAGCCAUUUUAAAGUUAACCUAUUAAGAGAAAUGGAUCUUGACUUCUCCAGGUGACAAUGAAACUUUUAUUUCUAAAAUAUACUGUGCCAAUAUUAUAACUUUGUCUGACACUAUUGAGGUCUUAGAUUUAAUAAAAUUUUAACCUUUUUAAAAGUGAAAACAUUCAGGGAAAUUUAUGCUCUGAUUACUGUUGAAUGUUUCACAUAUUGAAUAGUUAUGGCUUAUCUGUUGACAUUUAAACUUACGGAAACUGAUUAAACAAUCUUCUAAAUUGGCCUAUCAUUUUAACAAUAUUCUUUCUAGAAUCUUUAGGGUGUAAGUAUAAGGCUUAAAAAUUUUUGCUUUUAAAUUAAGUACUAUGUUCAGCUUCAAAUUUCCCCUUUGCCAUUGUGGAAAGCAAAAUUUUAAACUGUCUUACCUCCUGUGAGAAUUUAAAACAUGCACAAGGAUAGACCGUCUUUCUUGUGAGAAAUUUAAAGUAAAAGGUGAACUGUUUCAUAUUUACUAGUGUUUCUCCCAUUGUUCAUUUUGAAUUGUCUUAAAUUCAGUGGUGUAUUUAAAAAUGUUGGUUACAAUAGGUACUCAUUAAGAUGGUUUGUAGUUGAAUGUCUAAGCUAGCAGUGUUUUAAUAAUUAGUCACAGAUUGAUGGUACACCUUGUAUUUAGCCAAUUUGCAUGUUGAUAAAAUUUCCUGAGUCUUUUUUCCUUAAAUCCAAUUACUGAUCCUAUAAAAUAGUUAUAAUGCAGCAUCAUGAAAAAACUGGUUAUGUGUUUCAACUGGUUUUAAGUGUUCCCAACAAAAUCUUACAUCAUGUAGUAUUUAUUUUUUACUUAAUGGAAUUUCAGUGAUACUUGGUGGAUAUUUCAAGCCUUUUUGUCUUUUACACAAUGGUGCUCUAUUCUAUUGUUUUCAAAGAAGCAUUUGAACACUUGGAUUUGUGUAUUCUUAUCCAAAGGCAUCCACAAAUAAGUGGGUUUUUAAAGCUGAUUAUUUUUUCCCACUUACAAUGGAUUCUACAAACUCGUAGUGAAUUGACUCUGAAUGUCAGUAGUAUGACUUGGGGAAAGGUGAACGUAGUAGAUUAAAGCUCUUAUAAAAGCUUUAAACCAAACUAUGGACUUGUACCAUGAUUUAAUAGUAUUCUUGGAUCUUUUCUUGCACAGUGAUUCAUUCCUUUAUUUGUACAGUAGCUCUGUGAAAUAUUGCUGUGAAUUGAUAUUGUAAUCAAUAAAGUGCUUUUAACCAG